ACGAACGCUGGCGGCGUGCUUAACACCUGCAAGUCGAACGGAAAGGCCCUGCUUUUGUGGGGUGCUCGAGUGGCGAACGGGUGAGUAACACGUGAGUAACCUGCCCUUGACUUUGGGAUAACUUCAGGAAACUGGGGCUAAUACCGGAUAGGAGCUCCUGCUGCAUGGUGGGGGUUGGAAAGUUUCGGCGGUUGGGGAUGGACUCGCGGCUUAUCAGCUUGUUGGUGGGGUAGUGGCUUACCAAGGCUUUGACGGGUAGCCGGCCUGAGAGGGUGACCGGCCACAUUGGGACUGAGAUACGGCCCAGACUCCUACGGGAGGCAGCAGUGGGGAAUAUUGCACAAUGGGCGGAAGCCUGAUGCAGCAACGCCGCGUGCGGGAUGACGGCCUUCGGGUUGUAAACCACUUUCGCCUGUGACGAAGCGUGAGUGACGGUAAUGGGUAAAGAAGCACCGGCUAACUACGUG
rnacentral:rRNA from 1 species